UAAUCAUAUAAUGCAAUGAAGGGCCUAGAUGAGGUGAGAGAGAUGAAGGUGAUAAAGUUUACCGUUACAUUAUUAAUCACCACGAUUCUGUUUCUACUGUUCUUCCCCAAAAAGAGCAUAAACCCCUCUUUUCCACAGCCACCACAGCGAGAUUCCUCUUCCUCCUCCAUGUCCAGGGCGCGAAGCUUUGUUCUGUGGCUUCACGGUCUGGGUGACUCCGGCCCAGCCAACGAACCCAUCAAAACUUUGUUCACUUCUCCCGAAUUCAGAGACACCAAAUGGUCCUUCCCUUCUGCCCCUUCCGCCCCCGUUACUUGCAACUAUGGUUCUGUAAUGCCUUCGUGGUUUGACAUUCUCGAGAUUCCUGUCACAGCUGAAUCUCCAAAUGACGAGAGUAGUUUACUUAAAGCUGUUCAAAAUGUGCAUGCUACUAUAGACAGGGAAAUAGCUGCUGGUGUAAACCCCAAAAAUGUAUUUAUCUGUGGAUUCAGUCAAGGAGGUGCCUUAACCUUGGCUAGUGCUCUACUGUACCCUAAAACUUUAGGUGGAGGUGCAAUCUUUAGUGGUUGGGUUCCAUUCAAUUCUUCUAUUACAGAACAAAUUACGCCCGAGGCAAAGCAGGAAUUAGGUGAUGUGGCAUUAAGCUGGUGGGAAAAAUUUGUUGCAACUUUUCACGCCAGAGCACUGUAGCAACUUCUUGCUUUUAUGCGUUACCUGGGACACAGAAAAAGAUACACAAAAUAUUCAUAACGAAUAUACUCUCUACUCUUGCUGUUUUUUCGAUCAAAAUCUGCUGUGUAACUGGUUUUAUUCAUGAAUUAGUUCCCCUACUCUUUAGAUUAAGGGAUUUUCGGAGUCUAACUCCCUAAAUCCAAAGUUCCAAAGUCCAACUACCCUAUUCAUGAAUAAAUUCAGGCAGUGGCGGACUGCCAGAUUGGCCUAAAAGCAGUUUCAUAGGUGUACCAGCAGGGACCGGACGCCGUACGGAAGGACAUCCACGUCAUUGGACCACCAAACGGACCGGCCGCCCACAUCACCGUAUGGGACCCAGGAAACUAUCCUUCUACUUACUGUUGGGAAGGGUUAGGCAUGGUAGGACGGACGCCCGUGUGCCCAUAAUUACUUACUGUUGGGAAAGGUAAACAUGGUAGGGCGGACGCCCAUGUGCCCAUAAUCACUUACUGUUGGGAAGGGUAAGCAUGGUAGGGCGGACGCCCGUGUGCCUAUAAUCAAGACUCGCCCGAAGCUGGUCGCCCAGGCCGUGGACCCGUCAGGACCGGCCGGUCAUGAGGAUAAGACCCGUGAGGACGGCCGGCCGCGUUACUAAACAACUUAGCUUAAGGUCUCCCACCAUCGGACUGAGAAGAUAAUCGAGGAGUGAGUACUGAGGAUCAGACGUACAAAAUACGAGCAGAGAGUGACAUGGAGACGUGGGACCAGCACAGCCCCUCACAUCCGAAACAAUAGGUUUUUGGGUUGGUUGGUUGUUACCCGCGGUUGGUGAAGGACUUAGUAAAAUUGCAAAACCGUUGACAUAUAUGUUACAACAUUUUCAAAUAGUGCCUGCCUUCCAAGGAUUGAAAAAUGUUCUUAUUUUAGCACUGUACUGGCUCUCCCCAAUUUUUCUAAGACUGUCAUUGGGGUGACAGAUGCCUCAGGUUCUGGAUUUGGUGCAGUUUGAAUGCAAGAUAAGCACCCCAUUGCUUACAUUAGCAAAUCCUUGAGUCCUAAGCACUAAGCUAUGUCAAUAUACGAGAGGGAGCUUCUAGCCAUAGUAUAUGUUGUUCAAAAGUCGGGAGCUUUCCAAUGAUGCUUAAUAAUUCUCAGAUGGAGCUAUUGGAGCAAACCUAACAGUUGGUCUGCUGAUGAUACUAUUCAAUUACUUAUUCAGGAGCUUAUGUGGGAUCCUAACAAGCAUCUGAAAUACUCUUGGCAUAGAUGAGAACUUAGAUGCAAAGGCAAAUUAUUUAUUGGUGCCAAUUCUGAUCUCAAACUUAUAAUAUUGAAAUGACUGCAUGACUCAUGUGCAGGGAACAUUCUGAUCAAGACUUCACAACUUCCACAAUGAAAUCUCUGUUUUUCUGGAGAGGUAUGCUGGAUGAUAUUAGCAUGGAUUUCAUUGAAGGCUUCCCCCCUUCACAUGACAAAGAAGUGCUUUUUCUAGUGAUGGAUAAAUAAAUAGGCUCACUUGUCACAUCCUUAUACUGCAUUAUAUGUUUUGUUUUUGGACAAUAUCUUCAAAUUACAUGGUCUCCCUAGCUCUAUUUCUAGCAACAGGGAUCAUAUCUUCCUUAGGGACGUCUGGGCUAAAGUUUUCCAGGUCCAAGGAGUUUCUUUGAACAAAUCCACUUCAUGUCAUCCACAAAGUGAAUGGUCAGACCAAAGUUGUUAACAUGCGGUUAGAGACAUCCUCAGUGCACGUGUUCAGACAAAGCCUCUUCAUGGUCUAAGUGGGCGUCGCUUGCUAAGUGGUGGUACAACACCAACUAUCACUCUGCCCUACACACUACUCCUUAUGAAGUGGUUACUAAUUGAAGAGCCGUAUAGACCCUCACUCUGUUGUCAUUCACCCUUUGCUUUUACACUUUCAUUACCAUUCAGUUAAGGGGAUCCAGAGGAUAAUAUUGGACAGAAAAAUGGUCUAGCGAGGUAGCAUCGCUACUGGUAAACUGUUGGUCAAGUGGAAGAAUUUACCUAAUGACCAAGAUACUUGGAAAUUCUACUAUGAUCUCUUGAAGAAAUUUCCCAAUUUAUGUCCUUGAGGAUAAUUGAACAGGGGGUAUUGUUACAACAUUCUAUUGUUGUAAAGUUGCUUUACUAUAUAAUUCACAUUAUAAAACUCGUUUUUCUAUCUUUCAUUUUCCAUAUUAGAAAUUUGCUUAUGUGGCAUUUGGCUGGUUGGAAAAGUUUGCUGCAACUUUUCACGCCAGAGUACUAUAGCCACUUUUUGCUUUUAUGUCUUGCCUGGGGGCUCAAGAAAAGACACGCAAAAUAUUCUCUCUA